GUCGAGCGAGAAAGUGACUUCGGUUGCGAGUAAAGCGGCGGACGGGUGAGUACAACGUGGAUAAUCUACCCUAAGGUCUGGGACAACCCCGAGAAAUCGGAGCUAAUACCGGAUAAGACCGCAGUAUCCAAGGAUACAGGGGUAAAAGAUUUAUCGCCUUUGGAUGAGUCCACGUCCCAUCAGGUAGUUGGUAAGGUAAAGGCUUACCAAGCCUAGGACGGGUAGCCGGCCUUAGCGGGUGAACGGCCACAUGGGGACUGAGACACGGCCCUGACUCCUACGGGAGGCAGCAGUGGGGAAUAUUGGGCAAUGGGCGAAAGCCUGACCCAGCGAUGCCGCGUGAGGGGUGAAGGCCUUCGGGUUGUAAACCUCUGUCAGGAGGGACGAUGGGACUAUGUCUUGACGGUACCUCCAGAGGAAGCCCCGGCUAACUCCGUGCCAGCAGCCGCGGUAAUACGGAGGGGGCAAGCGUUGCUCGGAAUUACUGGGCGUAAAGGGUCCGCAGGCUGUCAGGCAAGUUGGUUGUGAAAGCUCAAGGCUUAACCUUGAAAUUGCAUCUAAUACUGCCUGACUAGAGUCCAAGAGAGGUUGGCGGAAUUCCCGGUGUAGCGGUGAAAUGCAUAGAUAUCGGGAGGAACACCAGAGGCGAAGGCGGCCAACUGGCUUGGUACUGACGCUCAGGGACGAAAGCGUGGGUAGCAAACCGGAUUAGAUACCAGGGUAGUCCACGCCCUAAACGAUGGAUGCUAGGUAGGGGGAAUUUAUUUCUCCCUGCCGUAGUUAACGCAUUAAGCAUCCCGCCUGG
rnacentral:rRNA from 1 species